AAGCUGUGUGGCCAUAUCUGGAUGACUGAGUCUUCCUAAGCCCUCCUCAUAUGUUCCUCUUUUGAGUGUAAAUCCCAGCAGGCUCCAGAGACUUGUCCUUCCUGAAGGAUGUCAGAACACAUGGAUCCACCCUUUAUCAGAAAAACAGGCUACUCGUCCUGCUGGUCACUCUCAGAUGACAACUGUAAGCUCCUUGAAGCCUGAAGAAAAGACUCUGCUUCUGGGGGUUGCUGAAAGUCCGACCUUCACUCUGAGACAGAAAGACAAGGAGACAGAGGAGAGAUAUCAUAGCACUACUCUAGUGUUUAAGGAGCUUCCUCUGAUACUGGACACGAUGCUCCCAUGUGGUGCUGUGAACCCAGGUCCUUAUGGUUAAGUGUGAAAUCUUCCAGGGGGACUAUCCUGGGCCUAAAAUGUUCUGG